AAAGGCUGCCCCGAAUCCAAAACUCUCUGGGUAUCCCCCUUUUCUAGGGCUCUGCUUGUAGGCUCAGGACUGAGCCCAGAGAAAGAAACAAAGACACAAAGUCACCAAAUGAGACCCUGGGCAGCAUCAAGCAGUCAGAAUUGUAACGAUAGAGACUGAUUACAGUUUUGUCAAAAGAAACCCCUGCAAGAAAUACUUGGAGCUCAGUGUGACAGAUGGCAAUUUCCCAGCAAUGUCCUGGACAAACCUCACUGAAUGAAGCUGAAGUAUUUUGGGGUCCAUUGUAUUAAAACCACAAUUGUUUGUGUGUUAUGAAAGAAGCCAACACUUUCAGCAUCUACAACGGAGACAAAAUUAGAGAUGAACAUCCCAGCUCAGAGGUGAACUUUGCAGCUGGGCUGUAUUGCUACAAGCUGGACUGGAUAUAAAAAAAAAGGCAAACUUUCUGAAAGUUCAGAAUUGUAGGCAAACCUAAUGGUCCUUCCCCAAGA